rnacentral:rRNA from 1 species
GGUGGUCUAAUACCUUAUAGUAUCCAUCUCGUAUGGAUUAAAGCUUUAUGCGCUUUGGGAGGGGCCUGCGUUUGAUUAGCUAGUUGGUGAGGUAAAAAGCUCACCAAGGCGACGAUCAAUAGCUGGUUUGAGAGGACGACCAGCCACACUGGGACUGAGAUACGGCCCAGACUCCUACGGGAGGCAGCAGUAAGGAAUCUUCCACAAUGGGGCAACCCUGAUGGAGCAAUACCGCGUGCAGGAUGAAGCGUUUCGGCGUGUAAACUGCUUUUAUCACCGAAGAUUAUGACUGUAGGUGAAGAAUAAGGACCGGCUAACUACGUG